AUUAUAGUCCCCGCCGAUGGUUCCCCGGUGCGCCGGGGUGAAAAGGGAACCCGGUACCGUUCGUUCGCGAAGGAAAGCCGGGGCUGCCCCCGCAACUGUAGGCGGAUAGGUUCGGCCGCUUCAAGAUCGCCACUGGCUCGUCGUCAAGGUUUCCACCGACGCACGAAGAAAGCCGGGAAGGCUGUUGGCCCGACCCAUGACCCGCAAGCCAGGAGACCUGCCAUCGCACCCGCGUGCGC
rnacentral:ncRNA from 2 species